rnacentral:rRNA from 1 species
AUUGAACGCUGGCGGCAGGCCUAACACAUGCAAGUAGAACGAGUGGCGGACGGGUGAGUAAUGUCUGGGACACUGCCUGAUGGAGGGGGAUAACUACUGGAAACGGUAGCUAAUACCGCAUACCAUCAAAUGUACCCAGAUGGGCUUAGCUAGUUGGUGGGGUAACGGCUCACCAAGGCAAAGAUCCCUAGCUGGUCUGAGAGGAUGACCAGCAACAUUGGAACUGAGACACGGUCCAGACUCAUACGGGAGGCAGCAGUGGGGAAUAUUGCACAAUGGGCGAAAUCCUGAUGCAGCCAUGCCGCGUGUAUGAAGAAGGCCUUCGGGUUGGAAAGUACUGUCAGCGGGGAGGCGUUAUCCGCAGAAGAAGCACCGGCUAACUCCGUGCCAGCAGCCGCGGUAAUAC